CCACUGAAAACUAAAAAAAAAAAAAAAAAAAAGGGCAGAUCUGUUUGGGUCUGGUAAUCAUUAAAAGGGAUUACUUUUGUAUUGGUUAUUCAUUUUUUUUUUUUUAUGAAAAUCCUACAUAAUAUACCUUUAAACAGAUGAUUACUGAUUUCCAUUAAAGAUUGUUAAGAUCAAAUGUGCUGCUUAAAUAACACCACCACAGAUCUGUUUUACUGCAUGUUGCCUUUGGCAGGCUUUAAAUGUCUACCUAGUCAGCAAGUGAGGGAGAUGUACAGAGGAACACACGUAAAUGUGUCUGCAGGCGGCCAGCACAUGAAGAAAAUACACAUUCCCAAAUCUAUGAUGUCUGCACCCUUCUUACAGCAUCCAGCCCUUACAGCAGGACAGAGGCGCUACCUUUGCAGUAUAGCUAAUGUUUACAGUACAGAGCACAUGAAGCAGCAGAUGAAGCAGCACUAUCUCAAUGUGUAGCACACAUGUGUUCAUUCAGGUCAGAGUCCCACCUGCAGAAGGAGGUUUGGGUUUCAUCAGCGGAGAGACAAUAGUACGUUCACGAGGGAUGCACAGAAGGAUGUGGCAAGGCCGAAGCCUCGAGGACAGAGGAAAAGCAGCAGCACAGCUAAUUCUGAUGUCGUACUUCC